GUCUCUGUGUUGUAGCUAACGCGUUAAGCACUCCGCCUGGGGACUACGGUCGCAAGACUAAAACUCAAAGGAAUUGACGGGGACCCGCACAAGCGGUGGAGCAUGUGGUUUAAUUCGAUGCAACGCGAAGAACCUUACCACUUCUUGACAUGGAGAUUAGAUCCUUCUUAACAGAAGGGCGCAGUUCGGCUGGAUCUCRCACAGGUGCUGCAUGGCUGUCGUCAGCUCGUGUCGUGAGAUGUUGGGUUAAGUCCCGCAACGAGCGUAACCCUCAUCCUUAGUUGCCAGCGGGUUAAGCCGGGCACUUUAAGGAGACUGCCAGUGGUAAACUGGAGGAAGGUGGGGAUGAUGUCAAGUCAGCACGGCCCUUAUGGGGUGGGCUACACACGUGCUACAAUGGUGACUACAAUAGGUUGCAAUGUCGYAAGGCUGAGC
rnacentral:rRNA from 1 species